GCAUGAAAGGGCUGUGUCUGAGAAGACACACAUUGGGUCUGCAACGGGAACUUUUCCUUCCGCGAGAUAAAAGAUUAUCUUCAAAGUUAUCUGGAGCUGCUACUCCCCAGACCCUUUGAGCCGGGCAGAUAAGAAGUGGAAUUCCAUUGACCCUGCCGCUUUGCUCAGCAGAGCCUCAGCAUGCCGCCCCAGCCGCCCCGGCCGCCCCGGCCGCCCCGGCUUUGGGGACCACUGGCUCGGGCACACCGCUGGCUUUCUGCAUAAGUGUGCUAAACAUCUUGCAUUCUGCAGAAGGACAAGACACAUGAAAUGUGAGAGACGAUGACCUCCAUGGCGAAGGCAUGGAAUCAGAGUGAACUGGGGGUGAACAACAGACAGAGGGCAGUUGUCUGCAGCGUUCCUCUUCUUGGUCUUGGCCAUGUCACCAACUGUGUCUUCUUGAGUCUCGACUAUCAGCUUCACACUUCUCCACCAGGCAUGGAUGGCGUUGCCCACACCACACAUCUGAUCCACUUCCUGGUGUUUAUUCUGUAACUGGAUGGUGAAUAAGUGUGAUAAAACAGACACCUAUGGACCAGUGACAAAAAUGCACCACAAGCCAAGGAUUAUGAUCUGUCCCACUUUCACGUUGCUAAAACAUGAGAUGAGUGCCCUUGCUUCACACACUUCCAUGAUUUCUAAAUUUCGGUUGAAGCCUCCAGUGAUGGUAUUUGGAGUUGAGGCCUCUGCAGGUAAUAAAGAUGGAACACCCAUGGAUAUUACUGGUGCCAUUAGCAGAUAAGUCAGGAUGAGAAAGGUAUCUGGCCCUCUGCACCGUGUAAGGAUACAGUAAGAAGACAUCGGUCUGAAAAUCGGGAACUCAGUUGGCUUUGAUCUUGGACAUUCAGCCUUCAGAACUGAGGAAAGUAAUUUUUUGGUGUUUAAGCUACUCAGCUUGUAGCAUUUUGUAAAUAAAUUGGCCACUUAUUAGCCAGAGUCCAUCAAGGGUUGGACAACAGGAAUGGAAUGCCAUGAUGCUUUUCUUCUCCUUAAAAAUGAUGCAAAUGUACCAUAGUUUUUAAAGGUUGGGUGAAAAUCUCUGCCUAAAUUUGUAAACAUUGCUGAGGCCCAGAGAUGAGUUAUCUCAACACAAGGGAUGGCCGGACAGACUUUUUGCAAGAAACACAGGAAUAGUCCCCCUCCAUGUGGUAAAUAAUCCACAGCUAGAGCAAUAACUACCCGAAGAAAUAAUGCAGGAAAAUUUACUUAAAAGGGAAAACAUUAGAACCAAGUCACUCUGGAGUACAGAUAGUCAUAAAGAACUAGUUGCACGAUCUUUCCACAAAAUUCCUUGGCCUUAAACAAAGCAGAAAAAAAAGAUUUGUCUGCUUCCUUAAAAAAAAUGCAAAAGUUCAUGUUUCAGAGUUUAAAAAGAUAUAAUUUAGGAAAGGAUAACUACAGACAAUACUUUCUGCUAGGAACAAAAACCAAAGUGAAAAAUAUUUAUGGAUGUUCCCAUAAUUCAUGUGAAGGCUUUGUAACAUCAACAUCCAACAGGAAAUGAAAGGCCUUUGGGAGACUGGAGGACAGCAGUAACCCCUCUCCUACCCACACCUCUGUGAACUGCAAAGAAAGUCCUUAUUUUUAGUAAGAUGGCUAUCACAAUUGCAAACAGCACUUCUGGACGUGUGUCCACAGCCCUCUGCCAGCAUCUCUGUGGUGAUGGGCGGCCAAACCCACCAGAACAUUCUGUUUUUCAGAAGUGGCUUUGUCUCAGAACACAUUCACGUGGAGAGCAGGGGAGGACCUCAGUGCCCAGGGACCACGCCAGUUCAGAACAAGGGAAAUCGGGGAGGAGUCUCGAGGAGUCAGUCUUCUGCGAGGGAAAUCUUCUUUAGCUCUGAGUGAAUUCCUCCGCAAUUAGUGGUUUCUCUUGAAACGGCAGCAGUUGCGAGAACUGUGGCCAGAGAUCCGAUGCUUGUCUGCUUCAUGGGAAUAUCUUCAGCCCCAGAGAAAAAUGCUGCGGGGAAUUUUAUGGCAUACCAAAAAAAAUGUUUUCAGAGAUUUAUGUGCCUCUCUUUCAAAGACACACGAAGCAAUAAACAGUGAGAAAACAAAACAGUCUUUGAUCAGGAUUUCCCAGACCUUGGAACAUAUAAAGGGUGUACCAAUUCCACAAAGUAUUGUUUCUCAAUGAGGAAAUAUAGCUAAGUUUCCCAAGCUCCCCUCCAAGAAGCAACUUCGACGGAGAAAUACAGCCCAAGAAAAAUGGCUACGGAACACUAGACGGUAAAUGAUUCUCAUUUCCUGGCUCUACUAAAAAAAAGGUAUAAUACAGUGCCAUGAAACACCAUCUCAGACUUCCAAAACCAUCACAGAUCUUUAGAAAUAAUCUGUUACUUUAAUUUUACAAUUUUUUAUGCUACCACGGAGACAAUUUCCCCCCACCCCACCCCCCACUUUAGUAAAAGGCCUGAGUAGAAAAGAAAUGCAUGUUCACCAUAGAUCAUUGUAAAGCCUGGGAACAGUACAACCUGGAUUCCACUGUGCAGAAUCCAGGUUCUCGGUCUGAAGUCGCGCAGUGGGCUCUUCUGUGUUCCGUGGUGGAUGUGAAAUGCCCCCGUGGGCUCAUCUACUGCAGACUUGAUCCCCUGGUGGGACAGGGCUCUCCCGGCAAGAUACGGCUCUGGCCCUCUUUAACAUCAGCGGUGUGAUUAUUACUUGAAACCUGUACGUCGUUGGGCCAAUGAGGCCCCAGCAGAGAGUAGUAGAGGGACUUCUGAGACCCUGCUCCUCCCCACCAGCAUACAGGCAAUAACAGUUACUGGGAGGUGGGGCUCAAGCGGCCCCGCUCCUCCCCGAGGAGACAUCGGUGGUUAGUGGUGACUGAGAGACCUUUUCUUCAAUGGGAUAGCCUCCUGCAUCUUGCUCGUGCUCCUAGAAAUAACUCCACACCCAUUGCACCCGAAAGAAACCCCAAUUAAAAUCACUGGUUCACCGA